GACAACUCUAGAGAUAGAGCUUUCCCCUUCGGGGGACAAAGUGACAGGUGGUGCAUGGUUGUCGUCAGCUCGUGUCGUGAGAUGUUGGGUUAAGUCCCGCAACGAGCGCAACCCUUAAGCUUAGUUGCCAUCAUUAAGUUGGGCACUCUAAGUUGACUGCCGGUGACAAACCGGAGGAAGGUGGGGAUGACGUCAAAUCAUCAUGCCCCUUAUGAUUUGGGCUACACACGUGCUACAAUGGACAAUACAAAGGGCAGCGAAACCGUGAGGUCAAGCAAAUCCCAUAAAGUUGUUCUCAGUUCGGAUUGUAGUCUGCAACUCGACUACAUGAAGCUGGAAUCGCUAGUAAUCGUAGAUCAGCAUGCUACGGUGAAUACGUUCCCGGGUCUUGUACACACCGCCCGUCACACCACGAGAGUUUGUAACACCCGAAGCCGGUGGAGUAACCUUUUAGGAGCUAGCCAUCGAAGGUGGGACAAAUGAUUGGGGUGAAGUCGUAACAAGGUAGCCGUAUCGGAAGGUGCGGCUGGAUCACCUCCUUUCUAAGGA
rnacentral:rRNA from 1 species